rnacentral:rRNA from 1 species
UACAGAGGUCUCAAGCGUUGUUCGGAUUCAUUGGGCGUAAAGGGUGUGUAGGUGGCGCGCUAAGUCGGGUGUGAAAUUUCGGAGCUUAACUCCGAAACUGCAUUCGAUACUGGCGUGCUUGAGGACUGGAGAGGAGACUGGAAUUUACGGUGUAGCAGUGAAAUGCGUAGAUAUCGUAAGGAAGACCAGUGGCGAAGGCGGCCUGCUGGGCAGUAGCUGACGCUGAGGCGCGACAGCGUGGGGAGCAAACAGG